GGGCAUGUGGUGUAGUUGGUUAUCACGCUCGCUUAGCAUUUCUGAGCUUGCGAGAGGGGUCCGGUUCAAUCCCGGACAUGUCCA
rnacentral:tRNA from 1 species